UACGAAGGGGGCUAGCGUUGCUCGGAAUCACUGGGCGUAAGGGUGCGUAGGCGGGUCUUUUAAGUCAGGGGUGAAAUCCUGGAGCUCAACUCCAGAACUGCCUUUGAUACUGAAGAUCUUGAGUUCGGGAGAGGUGAGUGGAACUGCGAGUGUAGAGGUGAAAUUCGUAGAUAUUCGCAAGAACACCAGUGGCGAAGGCGGCUCACUGGCCCGAUACUGACGCUGAGGCACGAAAGCUAGGGGAGCAAACAGG
rnacentral:rRNA from 1 species